CAGUAGCCACGGUAAAACGGAGGGGGCUAGCGUUGUUCGGAAUUACUGGGCGUAAAGCGCACGUAGGCGGCUUUGUAAGUCAGAGGUGAAAGCCUGGAGCUCAACUCCAGAAUUGCCUUUGAGACUGCAUCGCUUGAACGUCGGAGAGGUGAGUGGAAUUCCGAGUGUAGAGGUGAAAUUCGUAGAUAUUCGGAAGAACACCAGUGGCGAAGGCGGCUCACUGGACGACUGUUGACGCUGAGGUGCGAAAGCGUGGGGAGCAAACAGGAUUAGAUACCCCGGUAGUCCCUGUCUCUUAUAA
rnacentral:rRNA from 1 species